CAUCCAAUGUUGGGGGUACCCAAGGCUGGGGACACCCCAUGUUGGGGACAUCCGAUGUUGGGGGUACCCAGGGUGAGGACACCCCAUGUUGGGGACAGCUGGCAUUGGGGACAUCCAAUGUUGGGGGUACCCAAGGUGAGGACACCCCGUGUUGGGGACAGCUGGCAUUGGGGACAUCCAAUGUUGGGGGUACCCAUGGUGAGGACACCCCAUGUUGGGGACACCUGGCAUUGGGGACAUCCAAUGUUGGGGGUACCCAAGGUGAGGACACCCCAUGCUGGGGAGACCCCAUGUUGGGGACAUCCAGUGUUGGGGGUACCCAAGGUGAGGACACCCCAUGCUGGGGAGACCCCAUGUUGGGGACAUCCAGUGUUGGGGGUACCCAAGGUGACGACACCGUCCCCAUGCCAGUGCCACCACUGAGGGUGCACCCGUCCCCAUCCCAGGGGGUCCCUGUGCUCCCGGGAAGGAGCCGAAAUGGGUCCGGAUCCGGCACCGGGUGGAUCCCACCGGCCCCUUCCCAGCACCGAUGGGGCUGGGUUUGGGGGGGGUGGAGCUGGAGCCUCCCCCCCCAAUCUCCACAGUGGAUUUUGGGCACCGGCCGGUGCAGCAAAGCCCCGAAAGCGCCUAAAAAUGGGCAAUUCCUCUUGGAAAAGGUUAUUUGAGGUCUCCCUUGAGGGGGCAGGAGGCCUUCGGGCAGGGAGGGGGGUGAGGAGCUGCACCCCCCCGCUCCCCCCCUUCCCCAAAAGUAAAUAUAUAUAUAUAUAUAGAGAUGCUCUAUGGCUCGAGAGGCGGGUAAAUACCCCUUGGGGUUAGCGGAGGACGAUGAGAAAAGGCACCUUUCAGCUGGUCACCUGUUUUCUAAAUGCACAUUUUUAAAUGAAAUGAAACAGAAAAAGAAAAGAUUUUUAAGCCCUUUUAUUUUAAAAGAAAAAAAAAGCACUUUUUAGAUUCUCUUCCUUUUAUUUUUUUGGUUUUAUUUCCUUGUUUUUUUUUGGUGUUUUUACUUUCAAAACAGCAAAGAGCAGGUUUUAUUGGCCGAAUGUAUUUUGGAGAGGGAGUGAGAUGGGAGCGUGUGCUGGGGGGGAGGGCUGAGUGGUGGGGCUGGGGGAGAGACGGAUGUUUUAUUUAAUGCAGAAAUAAAAACAAAGCAAAACUCACACACAAAAAAAAGCAAUAAAAAAGAAUUUAAAAAAAAAGGAGAAUUAAAAAAAAAACCAACAACCAACCAUGAUAAAAACCACAAUAAACCAGAAAAAAAAAAUAAAUACAAAGAAGUCUUAGCACUUUGCGAUGGAACGGGUACUUUGAGCUCACUUUAUCUUAAUUUAAAAAGCAAAAGCAAAAAGAUGUUUACAAGUGAAAAAAACAAAAAAAAAACAAAAAAAAAAACUUCUACGGAAAAAAAUUAUUAAAAAAAAAAAAGCCUAAAUUUAUUUUUGUAAGAAAAAAAAAUAAUGUGUAUAUAUAUAUAUAUAUA